rnacentral:rRNA from 1 species
ACUACGGGAGGCAGCAGUGGGGGAUAUUGCACAAUGGGGGCAACCCUGAUGCAGCGACGCCGCGUGAGCGAUGGAGUACUUCGGUAUGUACAGCUCUGUCAGCAGGGAAGAGAAUGACGGUACCUGACCAAGAAGCCCCGGCUAAAUACGUGCCAACAGCCGCGGUAAUACGUAUGGGGCAAGCGUUAUCCGGAUUUACUGGGUGUAAAGGGAGCGUAGGCGGCAGGGUAAGCCUGAUGGGAAAGCCCGGGGCUCAACCCCGGGACUGCAUUGGGAACUGCCCCGCGCGAGGGCCGGAGGGGUAGGGUGAAUUCCUAGGGGAGCUGUGAAAUGCGUAGAUAUUAGGAGGAACACCAGUGGCGAAGGCGGCCUGCUUGACGGUGUAGUGACGCGGAGGCUCGAAAGCGGGGGGAGCAAACAGGAGUAGAUACACCAGUAGUC